GUGAGGCGGAAGUGACGCAGCGUUGUCGUCUCGUAGGCUUGAAAGUAUCACCUCAGUUUAGUUCCAGGAUCCACACUCCUCCACCGUAGUCAGGAGAUUCAGGGAAAGCUGGCAGGGUUCAGCUUUCAAGGUGACCCGUGAUGAACCAUGGCCAAUCCUGUUAAGAGGCAUGAAAGCCAAUCCUAGCCAAUGAGACUGGGGAGAAAUCACUGAAGAACUUGUGGAAAACAAGACCCUCUGGAUAAAAAGACACGUGUGGGGAAAAAGGGGCUUUUUUAUGUUAUUCUGGAUGUUUCCCAAAAGUACUGCUGCUGCCUUGCCCCCCUGACAGACACUGGCCUUAGGAUGACAUGCGGCAGGAAGGAAGGACGGAUCUGGGGUUUUUCAAGACUCACUGAGAUGCGCAAGGAACCAACCCUCAAGCAGCCAACUCGUUCCUGCUUGCAUGUGUCGACUGAAAAGAAUCAAAAUAAACAAAAUAUAACUUUAUUUCUAAGAGGUUACAACUUGCAGGCAGGAAGCAGGCCUCUACCUGAGGCCAUAAAGCAUACUUUGAAGGAGAAAAGGUAGGUAUUUAUGCUAGGUGGAGAGGUAGGAUAUACGUAUUCUGUAGCAUACAGGAGAAGCCUAUGAAAAUUAAUGGAGGAAACUCGUUAGAGACACGCACUGGGCUUACAUAUGAAGAGUAUCCAAAAGCGGAUGACCUAUGUUCACUCUGGGGUGAAGAUUUAACAUUUAAAUGUAUUAUAAUUAGGCUAUAAAUGCAAAAAGGUGAAACAUAGGGCACAAGUUCACGAUCUGUGCAAUCUCCGGAGACCAGUCUGAUCUAGCCUGCAGCUGGCAGUCGUCUGUCAAGAAGGGGUUCUUUGUAGCCGAGAGUAGCUGUCAGGUUGGGACCAUAAAACCAAAAGGAGGGCAUCAGCAGUUAGGUGAAGAGAAGUCUUUUGGCCUUUUUUCCUCUUCAAGUCAGCUUUUGAUAAGAUCUGGUAAUAAUAAGGGGAUGAGUGUGGCUGCAGGUGGGAUGUGUCGGUUCUCUGUCCUGUCACAGCUAAGAACUAAGAACUUUAGAGUCUUUCAGCCAUAGAGGAUCCUGUCAUCCAUUGAAGGGAUCAGUCCAUUGGGGUUUUGCCAGUUUUAGCAUUGAUCCUGUGUCCUGGGAAACCCCUCAAUACUUAUCAUAGCAGAAGGUCAGCCACUCUAGCGCUACCUCAGGACCUCUUUUAUGGGAAAGAAUAAUUCCUUUAACUGCUUGAGCCAUUUGAGUUGUGGCUGCUUUUGGUACUUGUAAUUGAAAACAUCUUGAAUGUUCUGAGACAGUAAAAGAAUGUGCCUUUAUUUCUGACAGCAAUUAUAAAAUCAAUUAUAUGUUUAUAUUCUAAAAAAUGUUUUGAGUAAUGCCGACAUCAUUGGAAAAGUGCAUCACUUAGAAAAUGUAUCUGUGUGUCAGUUUUGUUUGUUCAAAAUCAGUUUCAUUAAUUUAUGGGAAGAUACACCUUGUACAUUUUACCUAAUUUUAAAAAAUGUUGCCAGUUGAGCAUGCUUGUGAUAUAUUCAAAGAUAAAUAAACUUUUUCAAUUUUAGAUAUUCA